GGAAGGUGUUAGGCACCCACUACGUCCUAGGUACUCCUAGGGAGCCCUUUUCACACUUGUUGUAAAAGAUUAUUAUUUAUUAUGACAUAAAGAUUGUGCAAACAUGAUUGGGAUGGUGAGAAAAGAAUAUACAAGUUUUAUUAUUAUUGGGUAUUGGGUUCGAACGGAUGAACCCGUUGCCUACGUACCUUCCAUCAAAGGUAAGGAUCAGAACGCCGUAGUUCGGCUAAAAGAUUUCCAAAAGUGGGUUAGGUUCAAUUUUAAACACAAACCCUAGGUCUUACGUUAUCCACGGGAGAAAACUCAACCUUAUACAAACAACAACGUCCACCAUGUGAGAACAGCUUCAACUUGCCAGGGAGGGGUUAACC
rnacentral:lncRNA from 1 species